GGGGGGAUACUCAAGCGGCCAACGAGGGCAGACUGUAAAUCUGCUGAUGUACAUCUUCGCAGGUUCGAAUCCUGCUCCCCCCA
rnacentral:tRNA from 1 species